UACGAGAGGCCCAACCGUUAUUCGGAUUUACUGGGCUUAAAGAGUUCGUAGGCGGCGCGGAAAGUAGGGUGUGAAAGCCCUCGGCUUAACCGAGGAAUUGCGCUCUAAACUACCGUGCUUGAGGAAGCUAGAGGUGAGCGGAACUGAUGGUGGAGCGGUGAAAUGCGUUGAUAUCAUCAGGAACACCGGAGGCGAAGGCGGCUCACUGGGGCUUUUCUGACGCUGAGGAACGAAAGCCAGGGGAGCGAACGGG
rnacentral:rRNA from 1 species